CUACCCUGGGUUCCGGGCAGGGGUGGAACUGGAUUCUGCCUGGAUGGGGAUCGGAUGGGGGUGGAGGUUUGAUUUGGGAAGCAGAGCACAGCAGCCCAAAUUUGUUGUAAUGGCGGCGGCUACAGACUUGGCAUAUGGCAUAAGACACACAGAGAGAGCCUUGCUGGUGUAGCUGAGAUUUACGACCCUCAUCCAACCAAACCAUUUCAGAUUCUUGGGGCUCAGAGCUCUCAUCGGAAAGACAUCUAUUCUGGGAGCAGGUACCCUUGUGACUAUGAAGAUUGACAAAAAGUUGACGGCAACGAUGAAUUCUCUUCCAGAACUUACAUCCCAGAAGGCCCUCCCCUACUUCGGGUCUCCCUAGAGUUGAAGAAACUAAGGUUCAGAAGAACAAUGGCCUGUCCAGGAUCUCACAACCAGCAUCUACUUGUUCCAGUUCAAGUUAGGUUUGGCUGUUAAUAACAUCACCUGGUGG
rnacentral:lncRNA from 1 species